UACAGAGGUCUCAAGCGUUGUUCGGAUUCAUUGGGCGUAAAGGGUGCGUAGGCGGCGCGGUAAGUCGGGUGUGAAAUCUCGGAGCUUAACUCCGAAACUGCAUUCGAUACUGCCGUGCUUGAGGACUGGAGAGGAGACUGGAAUUUACGGUGUAGCGGUGAAAUGCGUAGAUAUCGUAAGGAAGACCAGUGGCGAAGGCGGGUCUCUUGGACAGUUC
rnacentral:rRNA from 1 species